GACGAACCGUGCAAACGUUGUUCGGAAUCACUGGGCUUAAAGGGCGCGUAGGCGGGUUCCCAAGUCGGUGGUGAAAUCUUUCAGCUCAACUGGAAAAGUGCCGCCGAUACUGGGAGUCUGAGGGAGGUAGGGGUCGGGGGAACUAAUGGUGGAGCGGUGAAAUGCGUAGAUAUCAUUAGGAACGCCGGUGGCGAAAGCGCCCGACUGGACCUCUUCUGACGCUGAGGCGCGAAAGCCAGGGGAGCAAACGGG
rnacentral:rRNA from 1 species